GGAAAUUCCUGGGCACGGGCAGCCGAGUCCAAAUAUGAGCAAAGGAGCCGAGCGAGGGAGGACCGCCGAGCGCCCGCCGCGGACGGGGCCGGCUGCCCGGGCCUCGGAGCCGCCAACUCCCUCCUCCUCCGCAGCCUCCUCCGGAUCCUCCUCCGCAGCCUCCUCCACAGCCGCCCCGGGGCCGCCGGCCGCCGCGCGCCACCCGGGGCUGGAACCCCUCUGCCGCGGGGCAUCUCUCCAAUGCUGGGGCCCCAGAGCAGAGCAGAGCAUCCCACCCACGGGUCCCCCCGAGACCCCUGAAGCAGCAGGAAAGAGAGAAACCAGGACGAGGAGACCGGACGGCGAGCCGGAGACCCGUGGGAGGACGUUUAAGGGGUUUGAGGAGACUCGUGCGCCGCCCCUAAAGACUUGAGAGCUUUGGUAGUGAGGGGAUAAAAAGGUCUGGCAAUUCUCUAAGUGUGGGAGGGUUAAGCUGGAGCGGCGCUGCCAGCCAGGCACACGCUCAGGUGAGCGGUCCUCUACACAACGAACGGGCGUUAUAAUACGUAAAAAACCACCCCCUGCAUUCCAGACCCCAGUCACCAAAAGCACUAAGAUGACAAGGGUGCUACCAAGACAUCAGGUGAGACCCCCAAACAAAAAACAGAAAGCUGAAUUAAAGCGAGCAUUUUCCUUCCUUCCAUGAAUCUCAAACGGCAUUUUUUAAUAUUCACCGUUGAAGCCAUCCCUUUUGUUGACUGAUCCUGGAGAGACUUGAAGUAUGUAUUCCCAUGAUUAAUGGGCUGCCUGAUUCUACUGGCUUUGGCUGUGGAUAUGCUACAACAAGUAAUAAAUAUUACAGUGAGAUUUUAGAUGUUGCGGAGCAGUUAAAGAAUCCUCUCUGGACCAGCAAAGCUGCUUGGCUUUUGGCAAGAUUGUAUCCCACAAAGUGGUGUAUGCAAAACCAACUGGAUACACACAAAGAGAGAGACAGAGACGGAGACGGAGAAGUUGGAAGGGAGACAAGGAAGUUUUGAAGGGCGGCAGGAGGAAAG
rnacentral:lncRNA from 1 species